GAUGAACGCUAGCGGCAGGCCUAAUACAUGCAAGUCGAACGGUGUCUUCGGACAUAGUGGCGCACGGGUGCGUAACACGUAUGCGACCUACCUUACAUUGGGGCAUAGCCUUUCGAAAGGGAGAUUAAUACCGCAUAAGACAGUAGCUGGGCAUCCAGCAGCUGUUAAAGAUUUAUCGAUGUAAGCUGGGCAUGCGUCCAAUUAGCUAGUUGGUGAGGUAACGGCUCACCAAGGCAAUGAUUGGUAGGGGAACUGAGAGGUCAAUCCACCACACUGGCACUGAGAUACGGGCCAGACUCCUACGGGAGGCAGAAGUAGGGAAUAUUGGGCAAUGGACGCAAGUCUGACCCAGCCAUGCCGCGUGCAGGAUGAAGGCGUUAUGCGUUGUAAACUGCUUUUAUACAGGAAGAAACGACUCUUGCGAGAGGCAUUGACGGUACUGUAUGAAUAAGCACCGGCUAACUCCGUGCCAGCCGCCGCGGUAAGAC
rnacentral:rRNA from 1 species